GAAAAUUGAAUCAGGGCUAAUAGAAUGAUCCCCUAUUCUGGAUGGUGCACUUAUCUUGUAGAACAUUCAUUUAAAAAACCAAUCAACCAGACAAAAGUAUUGUACAAUCUAGGCUACUUACUAACUGCAAAGAAAUACUUAUUUCUAUCUCCCCAAGGAAAGACAUCAGGAACUUCUCUGGAAUGCUAUAUGAGGACUGAAAGCUGUCUCUGAGUUACAGGGGAAGGACUCAACUUUAAUUCAACUUCUGUUGGAACACCCUUAAUGGAUUAUUGAUAAACUUGGAAGCUGUUCUUUUUCAAUUUAUAGCAAUGAACAAUCAUCAGGAAAUACUAUCAUGGCUGUGGGAAGGAGGAAACCCCUUGACAAAAUGAAAAAUGAGCUCCCUUGCAUCAGUAUUGGAAUUCUAUAUUUCUUUCUCUUUCAUGUACCUGGUGGUGGCAAGAAAGACAAAAAAAUGAAAUAAGUAGAUGAGUAAGUUAUUUGUAAAGAAUAUUAUGAAAUGGCAGCUGUCAAAAAAGAAAUCAUAUUAUGGGUUUAAUGUUUUUUUUUUUUUCUAAAUAAGCUGUUUGUUUCCUGAUAAACAGUUGCUACCUUCUCGCAAAUAGCCUUCAAUAUUCACCUUUAAAUUCCAGAGUAUCAUGGAGAAGUAUGGGCACUGGGCUCAAAGUAUUCCAUACUAAAACUUAACAAUGUCAUUAUUAUUGAAUUUUCACAGUACUGUAUAUUCCUUGAAAUCCAUGGGGUAGUAGGAAAAAAUGUAACUGAGACAUUCAAUAACAUUGCUAGUUUCUUUUUCCUUUUUAAAAUUAAACUUUAUACCUAUUAAUAUCAUAAAAAUUAAAUUGUCUAAUGUCUUAAGACUUGAAAACAAAGUGAACUUUGAGUUAUGCUAUUAUUAUGUAAGCAAAUUUUUGCCCUCAAAAUCUAGAGGUGUCCCCUAAGUUUGACAUUCAUGAACCAAUAUAUUCAUAACCAUCUAUAUGUGUCUAUGUAUUUUUGAGGAAGAUGGGCAUGGUGAGACAUCACCAAGCUGUAAAAAGACCUGUAACUUGAAAAGGACUUCUUUGUUGUAAAAUUAGCCUGUGUGUAUACCAGUCUCUUUUCUCUGGAUAUAUGAUUCUGGGAAAAGUUAAUUUGAUAAUAUUAUUGUUACUUCCUGAAAUGGUUCCUCCUGGGGUGCACUAUAUGUGUGAAAUCAGUUUAGAAUGCUCUCCCUGUCUCCCAUGCGUUUCCUUCCCAAAUAGUUGACUGUUCUUUAUAAGCUACUGCUUUAACAUUCCUUCUCUCACACAUCUUAGCUCAGGGCUACUGGUUUGCAUUGGUACCCACUCAUUCCUCGUAAGUAGUGAAAACCAUAAACUAUUAAACUGAAGAUAUUUCACAGCAUUGUGUGUAUGCUACAGAUAUCCUUAUAACAAAACUAAUAGAUACGGCGUUAGAUGCCACCAAGAACUCAAAUAGGGGGCAGACACUUCACUUAAAACUGGGUAGAAAUAAUUACAAUUGGCUUUGAAAACAAGUUUGCACAUUUGAAGUGCAAAGAAAUUUGUAACAUUUUGUGUAUAGCUUCAACCUUUAAGCAGCUUUAUUAAUGACACACUUUGUUGAGGAAAUGGUUGUUUCCUGGUGCCAAAGACUAAAGAAAAGCUUGCAAGGACAGUUACAGUCUACAUCAAGGGUCAGAAAACUAACAAAUCUGGCAUCUACCUGGUUUUGUGAAUAAAGUUUUAUUGGAACUCAGCCAUGUCCACGGCAGUUGUGUAGUUGUGAUGGAGACCGUAUGGCCUGCAAAGCCUAAAAUAUUUAUAAUCUGCCCCUUCAUGGAAAAGUUUGCUGACUGCUGGCCUACCAAUAUAUCUAUAUCUAUAGCUACCAAUAUAGAUGCCUAAACAUUGUAUGUGAUAAUGACUAAUUUCACAAUUUAAUGUGGGAUGAUAUGAAAAAUAAAUCUAAAUAUUAGCUAUAAUAUUAAAAUUUAUUUUUUCUACAAAUAAAUUUCUUACCAAAUGUUAAGCCUUUAAUGUGAGUUCCAUUCCUUCAUACCCCCCCUUAACACUGCAUACAGUUAUGAUGGUAUUGAACUCAUUUUCUGAUUUCCAUGUUCCCUUGAGAUGUUCCCUAAGCAAUCUAUCAAUUCAAUCAAAGAAUGAAUCAAAACAGUGGCUCACUAUUGUGUGGGAUCUGAAUUUUUGUUUUUCAGCUGGUUUCAUCAACUUGAGACAUAGAGUUGACAUUUAUCAAAAGCUUUCUGGCUUCCAACAUGAAAAUUUCUAGAUAAUGUUCAGCCUAGAAAGUGGAAGAUUAAACUUCAAUGUUUCCUGUGAAAAUAAACCUUCAUUAAAAAAAUAAUUACCAAACACCUACUGUGCCAGGCUCUGCAGUAAGCAUCAGAGACACAGCACCCAGCAGAGAAGGAGCCCUAUGAGGUCUCUGUCAUCCUGGAACUUAGUCCUGACCUCCAACAUAAAGCCAGUCCUUUCAUUUAAAGAUGGAAUUGGUUGGAACACAAAGGAAACACCAGUACAAUUCAUAACUACGGAAACCUCCACAGAGCAAUGGAACACAGCUACAUUCCUGCACCUGGAAUGUCUGGUUUCAUGAGCAUCCAGAAGGAAGCGGGUGUGAAACUGAUCACCAACAUGUACAUUCUAAUUAAAUUCAGUCACAUUGCUAAAGCUGAGGACUCACAGAAUGGUUAUAAUGUACUUAUUUAAAAAAUAAAAUUUUAUUCUAAAAUAAUUCAAAUGAGAAGGAAACCAGGCAUAUGACUGUAAGUUAGUACUUAGCAAUCUAAUGAGUGAAGAGUUCUUAAAUAUAACAAUAGUCAAAACAGAAACAAUGAAAAACUUAGACUUUUUUGUUCAUAUUUGUCAAUUAAAACUGAUCAUAAACCA